UUGUGCUUCCGCAUCAUGAAGAAUCUAGUGAGUUUACUCAUUUUCAUCUAAACAAGGUUGAUGCACGUAGAGCGAACAGAGGUGAUAAGUCCAGGCGUAGUUGGUCCGGAAAGGAAGAAGUAAUCUUGGCUGCAACAAUGAAGGAGAUUGUGGCUCAAGGGUGGAAGUCUGAUAAUGGCUUUCGAUCCGGAUACCUCAACAAAAUAGAAGAAGCCCUAAAACGUGAGUCAAAUAUCUAUUCCUAAAAGAAGAAUUAUUCCUCCUUGGUGUAGAUUUUAAUAUCAAUGGUGAUUUCAAAAUUGAUUGUGAAAAUGAUCAACAGGUGCAAAUAGUGACGUAUAUUUUUACCCCUUGUUACUUGUGAAUAUGAUUUAAUUGAAUUAACUAAUCGAGUCAUACUUUUUAACAACAUAUUGAUGCAAUGCUCGUUACAUGAGAAACAAGCCAUGGCCUUUCUAGUAGGACUGGAAGAUAAUUUUUAACAACAUAUCGGCAUAGUCCAUGUUGAAGAUUUCAGCCUCAACGAUUUGUUCAGUGGAGAGGGAGCGAGUGACAGCUUAACGACGAAUGCAACUGCUAACAGUGUGACUGCAGGCGGGAAGGCACUCUAAACUUUGAUGAUGAUGGGCAGGAGUACAAAUACAUAUUUCUAGCAGGCGUGCAUUUCGUCAAUGUUUAUCCCAUUCAAUUCAGAUAUGAAUUGGCAAAUUGAUUAAUAUCUCUGUAAUUGUAGGGCAGUUUUCCCAUAAAAAUUACACCACUACAACUAUCCCUAAAUUAAUGCCUCUUUAAAAGAUCCAUAUCAUACUAAAAAUCCGGUCUGUAACAGACUACAUUCAAAAAUACUUUGUGCACAGCUUGUUUGUAAUUAAUGCAGCUGACAAAUGUAUAUUUGGUGAUUA